UUCCUCUACACAGGUUUGAUGAAUCUCCCCCUUUGUCUCUACAAGUGAUAUAGAGUGGCCUCUCAGAGACUGACAGUCACUUUGGCACAAUCCGACUCGUUGGGACCUCUAGUGGUGAAAACAAGGUUCAGCAGGACAAGUUAUCGGGUCACUGUAGAAAGGCAGCCCGUCCCUGUACCAUGAUGCCCAGGGUUCGAGCAGCAUGAAACCAAUGAUAGAUUCCCUUGAACAAUUUGCACAGUGAUGGAAAACAGAGGAAUCAAUGAGAUAACAAAUGAUCACUGACUGCAUUCGGAAGUAGAACACAGCAACACUCUCAAGACACGGAUACAUCGAUCACCAGGUCGACCAGAUGGGAUGGGAGUUUACAGCUUGACAGAAGCAAAAGGUCUGACUCAGGCGAAUCUCCGUGUCUGACUAUGCAUCAGGAGGAAGGACGAUUCAUUAGACACAAAUCAUUUAUCAGCCUCCUGACUAGAAACCCAGGAAAAAACAAAGAUCGGAAAUGCCAAAAAAGAGAAUUAAAACCACAAGGAGGACACAGCACAACCAAAAUUGGUCUCUUGCGAUGUGGAGCCUUAAUGGGCCAUCUCUAGUACCCGGCCAACCUCCAUGCAUAUUCAUGCUCCCGAAACAUUACUCUAAUUUCUUGCCAAAACCACUUUGGACUUUAGCAGCUCCUGAUAAGAUCUGCAGCACUGAAGGGACCAGUAAUGAAGUAGGCUCUAGGGUCAACCACUUUUUAAUAAAGACUC